rnacentral:rRNA from 1 species
UACAGAGGGGGCAAGCGUUAUUCGGAAUUAUUGGGCGUAAAGGGCUCGUAGGCGGUUUGUCGCGUCGGGAGUGAAAACACGGGGCUUAACCCCGUGCCUGCUUCCGAUACGGGCAGACUAGAGGUAUGCAGGGGAGAACGGAAUUCCUGGUGUAGCGGUGAAAUGCGCAGAUAUCAGGAGGAACACCGGUGGCGAAGGCGGUUCUCUGGGCAUUACCUGACGCUGAGGAGCGAAAGUGUGGGGAGCGAACAGG